AUCUCCACUGACAAGGUGUUGAUAUGUGGAAGUAGUUACCUCAGGUCAAGUGUUCCUGCAACCAGGCUGCAAGUACUCACUUCAAUGGAAAGCUCUGAGGUCCCUGCCAGCCCCUCUGGUCUACAGAUGUCUCGGGAUGCAGCCCCACCCUUUCUUAGUCACAGCAGUGGGAUUUGCAAAUGAGCAACACACCAGAGUUGUAACCAACUUUAAGGUGGACUUCAGCAAAAGAAUGGAGCAAUCACUGGGUGCCAGUAACACUAUGCUACGAUGUGCAGAGAGGGAAAUGAAGGCUAGCUCAUCCGAAGGAAACUACAGGGGAAUUUUAGAUCAGCAGAAUGCAAUUAUCCAAGUUGGAAUUGUUCCAGAACACCAAAGAGAACUCUAAAGAAAAUCUUAAAAAGAAAAAAAGAAGGUGAUGACUUUGGAUAGAACCCAACCAGCCCGUGCUGGUCAUGGAAGUGGAGAGACUGUGGCAGGAGCAGAACAGCGAUGGAGGGAUGCUUCUUAUGGAAGUUGGGAGCCUGAUGAAUGAGUUCAUCAUUUUUUCUACCCUGAAAGUGACAAAAACUAACUCAUGAAACUUUUCUGCCUGUAUUCCAGAGAAUGCAAAAAUUACUCAUCAAGUAAAAAAUUAAAAGGAAUUUUUAGUGCUCUGAAGUGGGAACUUAAAUUUUCCACUAUAAUUUACUCGAUUUUUAGAGAUGACUUAUAGGUUAUGGUGGGAUGGGUGAAUGUGUCCAUUUUGCAUGUGCUCAGUAUGUCCGCUUACAAGUUUCAAGUGUCUGCUGUAUACCACAGCAUUAGCAGUGAAUGUUUCUGGGCUGGGGAAUUUAGAAUUAUUUUUGUUUCAGUCUUCAUAUAUUUCUACUUCCUUAAAAAUUUUCU